rnacentral:rRNA from 1 species
GAUGAACGCUGGCGGCGUGCUUAACACAUGCAAGUCGAACGAGAAGUGGAGACGGAAACCUUCGGGCGGAAGACUUUACUUCGAGUGGCGGCCGGGUUAGUAACGCGUGGGUAACCUGCCUCAUACAGGGGGAUAACAGUUAGAAACGACUGUUAAUCCCGCAUCAGACCACAGCACCGCAUGGUGCGGCGGUAAGAGCUCCGGUGGUAUGAGAUGGACCCGCGUUCGAUUAGCCAGUUGGCGGGGUAACGGCCCACCAAAGCGACGAUCGAUAGCCGAUCGGGGAGGCUGACACGCCAGAAUGGGACUGAGGCACGGCCCAAAAUCCGACGGGAGGCAGGAGUGGGGAAUAUUGCACGAUGGGGGCAAACCUGAUGCAGCGACGCCGGGUGAGUGAAGAAGUGUUUCGGUAUGUAAAGCUCUAUCAGCAGGGAAGAGAAUGACAGUACCUGAGUAAGAAGCCCCGGCUAACUACGUG